UACCAGCACCCCGAGUGGUCGGGACGAUUAUUGGGCCUAAAGCAUCCGUAGCCGGUUCUACAAGUCUUCCGUUAAAUCCACCUGCUUAACAGAUGGGCUGCGGAAGAUACUAUAGAGCUAGGAGGCAGGAGAGGCAAGCGGUACUCGAUGGGUAGGGGUAAAAUCCGUUGAUCCAUUGAAGACCACCAGUGGCGAAGGCGGCUUGCCAGAACGCGCUCGACGGUGAGUGAUGAAAGCUGGGGGAGCAAACCGG
rnacentral:rRNA from 1 species